UAUUUAAAGGUCUCUGAGGAGACAAACUGGCUUUCUCCGUUUCUGCUUCCUUCACAUCUCCACUCUGUUCCCGUCGCCCCUCCACCUCCUCCUCAGAGACUUGCUGCACUCAGACAGCAGCCGUCUCUUUGUUUGCAGUUUGCUGUGGUUUGUAACAUGCCUCCACUGCGCCACACACUUUUUAUUAUACUGCCAGUAAUUAGAUGCACUGAACACUUUCACAUCACACUGUACUGUGACUGUACAUGUCAAGAAAAAUACAGAAAGUGAGAAAGUGCAGUUUAGUUUCUUCUCCUGUUUAUUCCUAUGACGAAUGCAGGAGAUUGUACAGUACAAGCAAACAGAAUAUUAUCCAUUAAUGAGCAAUUUAAUUAAUUAGAUUAUUUAAUCACAGCUUAAAUAAAUUCUAGUUAGGCAUCAGAUGGAAAGUCCUGCAGUCCUGCAACAUGUUUAUAUGUCUCAUAUACUUUUACUUGUGUAUAAUUACUAUUGUAGUGUUUAAAAUUAAUAUCUAAACAAAGUGAGUAACCCGCACCACAAAUAUUUAUUAGUAGUAAUUCAAACACCUUUAUUUUAAAAGGAAGACGCUGUAAAGCAACUUCUGAAUAUUUAAUUUUAUUUGAACACUGCAUCACAAUUAUAAUUUAAUUUAUAACGUAUAGUAAUUCAAUUUCUAUUUUUCUUAUUUAUUUGUGUUUUUUAUUUAAUUUCACCAGAAAUUUCAACAGAAAUUACAUCACAUUUUUAAUCUGAUCUUUUUAAAUUCUAUAUCAUCGUUUUUUAAAUUUGGACCAUUUUCAUUGAUUAUUUUUGUUAAUUUUCUUUUUUAAAAUUGUUCUAUAUUAUUUAUUUAGUCAUUAUUCAUUUUCCCACAUAUACAUUUGUCAUUUAUGUUACAAUUUUAUAAAUGGGAUCAGUAGAUAACAGUAACAAUUUUUCGAACAGGAACAAAGAAAACAUUUUACCUGUUGCUACCUCACUUCACAUUAUUAAUGUACAUCACUAAAACAACUAAACACACUCUCGGACAGAAAUGUCCCCACAGUGAUAUUAGACCUGCACAAACACACUGGUUAAAUUAGUCUCUGCCUCCUGUUGCUGGGCUGUGAUGAUGGUGAUGAUGAUAUGUUGUUGCUAUGGUAAUUACUGAAGCAGAGCAGCCAAAGACGGGUGGGGUCACAAAGGUCAAGCUUCACUGACACCCCCACCUCCCAAACUUCACUUUUCGCCGUUUGCUUUGGUUUUCCCUUGGUUCUGUUGCUUCAUUAGAGACACACAUAAGGAUCUGUGCAGCUGAAGCAAACCUUUCACAUCUCAUUGCUGGCUGCGCUCAAUGGACGCACCUCCUUUCAUUCAAAUAGUAGUUGUACGAAGUACAAUGUUUGACUUUGUCUUGUCUUCAUUCUGGCUCAUUUAGUUGUGACGGUUGAGUCUUCUGGUCUGGCUCUUACCCUGAGUGUCGACUGUUAUCGAGGCCUCUCCAGCAUUGGGUUAGCAUCUGAAAUGCUUUUUCUUAGUCUUUGUGCCCUACUCUGUGUCUGUGUCUAACUAUGUAACAGUGAGGCUUGGGGUCAAGGCGUCAGUUAGUGGCUCUGAAGUGAAGAUGGUGACUGAGGACUGAGGGACUGCCUUGAAGCAGCUCCUCUUGCUCUGACUCCUCUGGUUCCGGGUUUCUUCUUGUUCUGUUGAGUGAAGCUGUGAACCCGAUGCCACACAGACAGAAACAUGUGGGUAGAUAUGAAUCAAAAGGUAAUUAACACAAGUAACUAGAAGUAAAGCGAGAGGUUUGAUGAUGAAUACAUUCUGGACUCAGCUCAUAAAUACCUUCAUAUAAACCAUCAUAUUGUUGCGUUGGACAUGCUCUCUCUCUUUCUGGCAGUUGUUUGUCAGUGUCUCUGGUCCCAAAAUCUCUUUAAUAAAACUCUGAAAGUCGUCUCAAUGUUACUUUCUCAGCUUUCACUUGGGUUUGGCUUCUGUUUAAAAAUAUAUAUUUUUAUUCUCUGGUCUGUUUGAACUUUUUAUUGCCUGCUGAAUGAAAAAGUUUCACAUUUUAAUAUUCGGCAAUGUUUCCUGUUCAAUAUUCCUGAACAUUUUUAUUCACAGCUCAGAGUCCGUCUCUUCACUGACAUUUAUCCAAGACCAACAAUAUUCAUCUGUCUCUGAUUGUGUUUGUCUCAUCGUUCCAUCAGAACCAUAUUAGUUUCUGAGAUGUGUUCACUUGGAGGCUUCUGAUAAUUAUUCAGUAAUGAAUAUUCAAAUGUUUUCUUCUGUAUUCUGAAUCAGUCACAAAUAAACCACAUCAAAAGGUCAACAGUGAUUUUGAAAUGUAUUUGUUUCUUUAUUGGUUCAGAACCAAUAACUGGUUUCUGGCUGUUACAAACGGGAUCUAAGAGUUAUUUAGGCAACAUAUGUCACAAGUGCCAGGUUUAUUUCCUGGGUUUGCCUUUUAUUUUGACACCCUGUCUCUUCCUGUGCUCCUGUCAUUCCAGUUUGUCCAGCUUGUUGCUUGUUCACCUCUGCUCCCUCUGCCACAGCUGUGCCACAGCAGCCACUGGGCCCAGCUGCACUAAUCUGAACCUGGAGUCUUUAAACCAGGCACGUCGGACUAGGCAGCCUGUGAAAUGUCAUCAGUUUGGCGGAGUUUCUCAGGCUGUUUGAGCUAAUGAGCGGGUGUUGGACCAUUCAGGUGGAAAAGUGUCUGACACAUGUUAACCUGUUGGAAGCGGAGCCAUUAGCCCCUUGGAGUUCAAGCUGCUCUGACACUGUUACACUCAUCUGGUCUUCAUCACCUUCACACCUGAUGUUCGUCUGUAGGCUGUCCAGACUCACCUUCUGUCUUCUCAGGGAGGAUCCAGGGCUGUCAUCUGUCCACUGGAUCUUCAGCUGGUUCCUCCUGAACCUCUAGUUACCAGCUCUGCUGACAGAAUAGAUGCGGUUGACGUGUGGAUCCACAUUCAUUCUGUGCAUCAAGAUAAACACAUCAUGAAAUAUUCACACAUGUCAUGUGAGCUUCUGUCAGAUCAGAUGGAAGCUGCAGUCACUUGAACAUCACCGAGCGCUGAUCCAUUAUUAACACGUGUCAUGUUAGACACUCGCUGCAGGCUUUCAGAAACAGCCCGUAAUAAUAUAUCCGGAAUUAAAUAUUGAUCUGGGUUUAAUAUUUAUUGAGGCUUUUAGACGUCUGUUUAACUUUUAACACAAAGCGACGACAAACAGCUGAAGACUGUGACGCACAUCUGCUCUAAAUGGACAAACCUGAACCUUGGCUCAUUCAUAUUUAUUUCAUAAACACAUCAGCUCGACUCAGGACUGAAAGUCUUCAUCAAAUAAACAUCGACUUUGACAUUUUUACACAUUAACAUUUAGAAAAAAGAUUUUCAUCUAAAAGCCGUGAAUGUUUGCUGAUUGAGACGCUCGCCAUCAUCUGGGAUUUAACUUUUUAAAUAUUAGAUUAGCUUAAGUUUGUCUUCCUGCUAAAAGCUUCUUCAAAGCUCGAUGAUGCGCUGGUACUUGGGCCUCGCUGCCUCCUUUGCUUUCUGCUGCUUUAUUAUCACAGUAAGCGAAGCAGAAGUAGAAGCUGAGUCUCUCACAGCCCACAGACCCAAACACAGUCUAAGGAAACUGAGGAUUCACUUUAGGACUGAAGCUCGUGAUGGCCUGAUUCCGCUUGGUUCCGCCUCUUUGACCCAAACCAGAGUCUUAGUGCUCUAUCAGACUGGAGUCAUGGGAGACGUUCUGAUAGACAAAUGCUUGUAUAUCCUCAGAAGGCCAGUUCAGCUCUGUGACAGGAGCUGAAUCCAGAAAACAUUAAUAGUUGAUGACUUGAUAAGAAGCCAGAAGGAAAUGCAAACGUAGAAUAACUGUGACCUCUGACACCCGACAACCCAACCAGGUCCAGUAUGAAAACAAAGAGACAAAGAAGAGGCCUGUCUGAUGUCCAGGCACAGCUCAUUUCAUAGUUUUGGAGCUGCCACCACAAAGGCUCUGUCCUCUUCGAGCUUCCCUUUAGAAUUCGGUACAUUCAGGAGCAGCAGCUUGACUGAUCCCAGUUACCAAGAAGGAACAAAUAAAUCCAGAAGAGGUACAAUGGGGCAGCACAAUUUAAACAUUUAAAAACAAAACAGAGAAGUUCUAGAACCGGCAGCUAGUAAAGUGAGGAUAAAUUGAGUGUAAUAUGUUCAUAUUUUUGAGUGCCAGUUAAAAGCUGUGCUGCAGUAUUUUGGAUGAGCUGCAGCCGAGAGGUCGAGAACUAACUGGCGUCAAAAUAGUGUUACAGUAAUUCAGCCGGGUAGUAACAAAGGUGUGGAUUACUGUUUAACUUUGGCCAGUUGCCUCAGUUGGAAAAACGAAUCUGGUUUUCAAGCUUUAAUUCAAUAUUCAAGUAGACAAAGGCAUUUGUCUUGUAGAAGCAGUAGAAGGUCAGUAGCUCUGAUACAAGCUCUAAAGUUAAAGUGAAAAACUAUAGCAGAUACUUUAACUAAUAACAACAAUAAAUAAUACAAACUCAUAACCAGUCCAGUCAAGAACCACUAUAACCACCCUGCGUUAUUUCAAACCCUCCUUACACUGGUACUGAUGGCGUUGCCAUGGUGAUAAUUAACACUAAUCACCAGAGGAUUGUUGUUACUAUGGCAACAGCAGGAUCUGCACAGGUUGUGGGAUGGGGGCAUUUAAAAACAUUGGUCACUGGGGACGGGGGGUGGGGUGAGGAUGGAGAGGAAGUGUUUAUUAGUCAGAGAAUUAGGGCUGCGGAAGGAAAUGAGGAGGAGUAAGAGAAGGGUGAUGAGGAUAAGGAGGAGGAGCUGCUCACAUUUGAAUCAUUCAGGUCACUUUGUAUAUGUAUUAUUGUAUUAGUCCUGUUCUGAACUCCACUGUUUAUGAGAAGCAAACAUUUAGCCAGUGUCACAUAAAGCAGCAGAUCCGAGAUCAGCUGAUCACCAGAUAACUCUCACUGCGGAGCUCUGCAGCUGUUUGACCAGAUGAUGAUUAUAAUAAUGUUUAAAAUCCACAUGUUAGUCAGAGCCACAAUUUAAUUUUCUGCCCUAAACUUCAGGAUUUAGUCCAUCUUUACUGUUACCUGCUUUUCUUUUCAUGAAUCCAAAGGUAACACCAGAACCAGGCCUGUGUUUGUCUGAUGAAGCAGAUCCAGCAGCUGACACACUCUGGGAAAACAACAAACCAUCAGAGAGACUCAAGGACAACACAUCUGCUUCUGUUAAGAAGUGAAGAUGAGUUUCCACAGCAGCAUCACACUCCGCACUCACUGCAUUGGAACGAUAAUUGACUGAGCUGCAAGUGUCUCACACACAAAUAAGACGAGGUCAUGACCUCGGAGCGUCAUGCGGCGGCGUCCCGGUGGAGUGGACACACACUUCACAUCUCACGCAGUGUGUGAGGUUUAACAGGAGGGAGGUGGGGUAAUUAUAGCCAAGGAAGAUAUGAAAAUGACUCUGUGGGUUGACCUUUGACCUUGUCGGCAUCAUUAAAGAAGCAGCCUGUCACGUUGCUGCUUAGCACGUAGCACAACGCCACAGACCUUCAAAGCAAAUGACUUUUUACUAGGGCUGGGUGCGUCAACGUGCAUUGUCUGCAUUAACGCAGUUUCUUUUUAUUAUUGAUGAUUGGAAAGUUCAUUGCCCACUGGCUCUGAAUACACAUACAGACAAACAAUGGGUCAUCGGAGGAGCAGGCUGUUGAUCAGUACUGGCCUGAGAAACACACAACCAAUCAGAGCUGUUGGGGGUGGAUCCUAAGACUGCGCAGCGCUUACUUAACUGGAACCGACAGAUGAACUGAGAAAGGUGUCUUACGUGGACAUUAUCAAUUUAAAUAUUUUCCGAAUGACAGAGUUCAUUAAAACCAGUCAUUUGUAGCAACAGUAAAGCUGAUCCUGAAUCAGCUGAAUCGCAUCGUAGUACUUCAAGUGUGAGGUAUCAGUGCAAUGCAAUAUGCAACGUUGAUGCCAGCAAAUCCCCCACGUAAACAAACAGUGGAGGGAGACUUCGGCAGAUUAUAUUGGAUGUAGCGUGUGACAGAAGUAUAAACAAAAGACUCUCAUGGCAUCUGGUCUUCACUGUUAUUUUCUGCUUUGCUUUCCGGUUUUAUUUUGACACUUCUUGUUUGGUUUCCUGUCUGUUCUAGGUUCCGUUUUACCACUUAUAUGUUUCACCAGCUGUGGUAAGCUGUCAGUAGUCGCGUGAUCAUCAGCUGUUUUGUGUUAAUCAUUAGUCACUCUAUUUAUCCCCAGUAUGCACCUCAUUCCUUUGUCAGAUUUUUUUGUGAGACCACCGUCGUGCCACUUGGGGGUUGACAAGGGCUAGAGCGACCUCCUCUUCGGGGAAGAAUGGGGCUGCGAGCGGCCUCCUCUUUGGGGCCGACAGAAUGUCCUCCUCCAGGCCAACAUGGGAUAGAAUGGCCUCCUUCGUGCCAACACGAGACAGAAUGACUUCCUCCGGGCCAACAGGGAAAAGAAUGGCCGCUUCUUCAGGGCCAACAUGGGACAGGAGUGGCCUCCUCCGAGCCAACAGGGACAAGAAUGGCUUCUUUUUCAGGGCUGACAGGUGUAAGAGGGACAAGAAUGGCCUUCUCUGGGCCACACACACACACACACGCAGGCAGGCAAGCAGGCAGGCAGUCACACAGACACACACACACAGGCAGGCAGGCGGGCAGGAAGGCAGGCAGGCAGGCACGCACACACACACACACACACACACACACACACACACACACACACACACACACACACACACACACACACACACACACACACACACACACGCGGGCAGGCAGGCAGGCAGGCAGGCAGGCAGGCAGGCAAACACACACACACAGGCAGGCCGGCAGGCAGGCGCACUCACACACACACGCAGGAACACAGGCACGCAGGCUUGCACACAAAUACGAGAGCAGGAAUUUGGAGGCAGCUGCACAGGACAGCUUGAGGCGUUUCAGGAUGACUGUGGACUGGGCAGCACCAGCCUGGGUCAGUGUAGGAGGUGGUAGAUAGUGAGGCCUUUGGUUUAGGGCAGGUGGAGUGGAGCUCCUGAAGUAGGACAGUUCUCCAGUACUGGUUCUGACGCCCUGAUGCUGGUUGCAUGAGCCACAGCAGCGUUGGAGACUGUGAUGUCAAAUAUGCGUUCAAGCAGCAGAACCUCAUGAAAGCUGUUUAUUACAGUACAAUGUUGAUCCUGAGUGAAUCGCAGUUAAUUGUGUUUGAGUGGGUGGGCAGAGCGAGUGGGGUUAGGCCACAGGUUAACGCUGCAUGAUGUUUACACUGCCUCUCUCAUUAGACUGCUUGUUUACAGCCUCAGAUCAGCGAGGCCGAUAAUGAGCCACUUAUUUACCAGAGUCUGCUGCUUUGACAUCUUCUCACUUCACAGAAACAUGGAAUAUUUGUCUGCUUCCCCCACGACCCACAACACUGCACUUUUUAAAUGGACCUAGAAACAGGGAGCUUGCUGCAGAACAACCAUCUGGUGACUCAAGGUUCUCAUUCACAUGUUCAGGAACCAGGAGCCCCGGAAGAGCUGACGGAUCAACAAGGAAUCACAGGGACAAAGCUCCAAUGAACCGACACAGAAGAAAAGAGCAGCAGCAGCUUUAAGAACUUCUGUACUGAACAUAUACUGAACACACAUAUGAAUAUGAUCCAGAUCAAACAUCAAACAAACCAAAGGCCCAUCCUGAAGUCUGGAUCUGUUCACGGGAAAAUCAACAUGACCAUGAACCUGAGAAUGAGGGAAAACACAACGGUUAUUGAGCAACAUGCAACGGGACGGUCAGAACUGAAAGGCCUCUGCUCACGACGGAGAACGGGUCAUCGGAGAGUUUCAAAACCUCCACAGGUUUGCGAACAGUCAGUCACCAAACCUGAAUCCAGCAGAAGCAGUAAGACCAGCUUGUUGGUUGUGCUCUUCACUCCCUCCACCACUGUCAGACCACUGAGGCACUUCCAGCCACUCAUCAAUCACUUCUAGACCUGGACUUGUGCCUGACCCAGACCGCACCCCCUGAUUGGACCCUGG